UACGGAGGGUGCGAGCGUUAAUCGGAAUUACUGGGCGUAAAGGGCGCGUAGGUGGUUUAGCGAGUCGGAUGUGAAAGCCCCGGGCUCAACUUGGGAAUUGCAUUCGAUACUGCUUGGCUGGAGUACGGUAGAGGGAAGCGGAAUUCCCGGUGUAGCGGUGAAAUGCGUAGAUAUCGGGAGGAACAUCAGUGGCGAAGGCGGCUUCCUGGACCGAUACUGACACUGAGGCGCGAAAGCGUGGGGAGCAAACAGG
rnacentral:rRNA from 1 species